UAUUAAACAAAAGUAUCAUUUCUUAUCCAAAAGGCAAAGCCAUAGGUGUAGACUAAAAUCUUCUAAAAAGAAAUGUGGAAAACCAGCAAAUAGGUGUAGCGUAAUAGGUGGAAAACCAGGACACUACGCUGUAAAACUAGGACACUACGCUAAUAGGUGUAGAGUAAAACAGCAAAUACAAGCUUUGUCAAUUGAUGAAAAUCU
rnacentral:misc_RNA from 1 species